CAAAGGUAGUUUAAGUAAAAAUAUUAAUUUUGGGGAUUAAAGAAAAAAGGAUUUUCCUUUGA
rnacentral:tRNA from 1 species